rnacentral:rRNA from 1 species
UACGUAGGGUGCAAGCGUUAAUCGGAAUUACUGGGCGUAAAGCGUGCGCAGGCGGUUUUGUAAGUCUGUUGUGAAAUCCCCGGGCUCAACCUGGGAAUGGCAAUGGAGACUGCAAGGCUAGAGUUUGGCAGAGGGGGGUAGAAUUCCACGUGUAGCAGUGAAAUGCGUAGAUAUGUGGAAGAACACCGAUGGCGAAGGCAGCCCCCUGGGUCAAAACUGACGCUCAUGCACGAAAGCGUGGGGAGCAAACAGG